rnacentral:tRNA from 1 species
GGGGAUAUAGCUCAGUUGGUAGAGUGCUUGCCUUGCAUGCACAAGGCCCUGGGUUCAAUUCCCAACACCA